rnacentral:tRNA from 1 species
GCCCGGGUGGCUCAGUUGGUUAAGCAUCUGACUUUGGCUCAGGUCAUGAUCUUGCAGUUCGUGGGUUCGAGCCCCACGUCGGGCU